GCCUAUGUAGCUCAGUGGCAGAGCACUGGUCGUGUAAACCAGGGGUCGCAAGUUCAAUCCUCACAGGAAGCA
rnacentral:tRNA from 1 species